ensembl:lncRNA novel transcript
CAAAAAUCAGUUUGGGAAAUAGAGACACUUGAAUGAAUGGGUUUUGAGAUAAAAAUCUGUCUUGUCAUCCUCCUGAGGUGGAGCAGAUUGCAUUUUCCAGCUGAGGCAGGAGAAUGGCAUGAACCCGGGAGGCGGAGCUUGCAGUGAGCCGAGAUCGCGCCACUGCACUCCAGCCUGGGUGACAGAGCGAGACUC